rnacentral:rRNA from 1 species
CCGCUGAACUUAAGCAUAUCAUUAAGCGGAGGAAAAGAAACUAACUAGGAUUCCCUCAGUAGGGGCGACCGAAGCGGGAAAAGCCCAAAAUGAAAAUCUCAGGCAGCGAUGCCUGCGAAUUGUAAUCUGGAGAUGGUCUAGCUAACGGGCGACGGCGCGUAAGUGUGCACGAGAGCACCGCCAGAGAGGGUGAGAGCCCCGUAUGUAGCGUCUUUGCUCACCGGCUGGGUUGUCAAAGAGUCGUAUACUYUGAUACGAGUGUACUAAGCGGGAGAUAAACUUCUUCUAAGGCUAAAUAUAUGUAGGAAACCGAUAGCGAACAAGUACUGUGAAGGAAAGAUGAAAAGCACUUUGGAAAGAGAGUUAAAAGACUUGAAAUCGUUGAGGCGGAAGCGGUAGAAAUGAAUUCUACAGUUGCUCCCAGAGGGUCUGAGAAUGCAUGAUCGGGCUUGUCGGGGGGAGCGGUGAGGCAAGAUGGGGUCGCGCGACGCCAGAAGCGGUGCUGGUUCUCCAGUGCUAUAUGGGUGACGCGUGGCCUGAGGGGCUUUGAGCGAUCUUGUCAAAAUGGUUUUUACCGACCCGUCUUGAAACACGGACCAAGGAGUCUAAGACUAACGCGAGUAUGGUGGUGGAGAAACCAACAUGCGUAAUGAAAGUAAUUGAUGCCAAGGCAACGGCAGCAUCGACCGACCCUGAUCCGCCGGAAAAAGGUUUGAGUAUGA